rnacentral:rRNA from 1 species
UACGGGAGGCAGCAGUGGGGAAUAUUGCACAAUGGGCGAAAGCCUGAUGCAGCUAUGCCGCGUGUAUGAAGAAGGCCUUAGGGUUGUAAAGUACUUUCAUCGGGGAGGAAAAACAAAACUAAUAAUUUUAUUUCUUGACGUUACCCGAAAAAGAAGCACCGGCUAACUCCGUGCCAGCAGCCGCGGUAAUACGGAGGGUGCGAGCGUUAAUCGGAAUUACUGGGCGUAAAGGGCACGCAGGCGGUUAAUUAAGUUGGAUGUGAAAUCCCCGGGCUUAACCUGGGAAUGGCAUUCAAGACUGGUUAGCUAGAGUCUUGUAGAGGGGGGUAGAAUUCCAUGUGUAGCGGUGAAAUGCGUAGAGAUGUGGAGGAAUACCGGUGGCGAAGGCGGCCCCUGGACAAAGACUGACGCUCAUGUGCGAAAGCGUGGGGAGCAAACAGGGAUUAGAUACCGU